GUGGGGAAUAUUGCGCAAUGGGGGAAACCCUGACGCAGCAAUACCGCGUGAGUGAAGAAGGUUUUCGGAUCGUAAAACUCUUUUAUUGGGGAAGAAGAAGUGACGGUACCCAAUGAAGAAGUCCCGGCUAACUACGUGCCAGCAGCCGCGGUAAUACGUAGGGGACAAGCGUUGUCCGGAAUCACUGGGCGUAAAGGGCGCGUAGGCGGUUUUAUAAGUCAGAUGUGAAAGGUACCGGCUCAACCGGUGACGUGCAUUUGAAACUGUAAGACUUGAGUACUGGAGAGGCAAGUGGAAUUCCUAGUGUAGCGGUGAAAUGCGUAGAUAUUAGGAGGAACACCGGUGGCGAAGGCGGCUUGCUGGACAGAUACUGACGCUGAGGUGCGAAAGCCAGGGUAGCGAACGGGAUUAGAAACCCGUGUAGUCC
rnacentral:rRNA from 1 species